GAAUUUCAUCCCACCCACAGUGAUUUUUAUAAAUUUCCAGAAUAAUGAGUUAUGUACAAGAAAGAAUAAAAAAGAAUAUAAGAAAGAGGAAGAAGCUAAUGAACAAAGGGAGAGCCUCUGAACUGUGAACUAUCUAAAAGCCAAAACCCAAUCUGAAAGUGUUUCAGAUGAUUUUCGCUUGACUCUGUGCACUAGCCAUUGCAUUUCUUCCUUGAAUUUUCUUCAGCACGCAUGAAGACUAGGAGUGAUCCCCCCUCAAAAUGAAAUCAUUCCUUGUGUUCCAUAUCACCCAUGAGAUGAGGGUAAACCCCCUGAAAAUGUGCACGCAUGAAGACUAUCCAUUUUUUGUUGUUGCGAAAGGCUAAACCAUACUAUCCGUGCGCCAGACAUUCAGACAAGAAUUAAUUCAGGCUUAACAAAUCUCAGAACAUAGCAAUAGCUCUAGGCUUCCAUCCUAAAUCUGAGCAAAACUACUACAUUUUCUUGUUUUGGACCAUGCAAAAUAGCUUUAGGCUAAUGAAGUCUCAGAACAUAGAAAAAUAGUAACUCCAGACUAAGUUCAGAUUGCCCCCGGAAGAAACAUUCAUUGCAGCAACAGAUAUGAGACCUAAUUGUUUUCCCAUUGAUUUGAGAAUUGAAGACCUGCACGAUCAUCAUCAUUCAUCAGUCCGCCUCCAGAUCCCUACAAAAAUGAAGAACAUGGACACUCAAUCGAUUUAUCAAACCAAAACUUGAUAUAUCUGUUUUCACCAAUAUUGCAAGUAUAAUCAUGCCUAACUGGUUGGCUAGCUAGCAAGAAACAUAGAAUCAACAACUACCGGUGCUAGUAAAUGAGUAAAUACAAAGUUACACGAUUGUGGGUUGCAUGUUCUUUCCUACCAUCACAUUCAGUCGUUGUGCGGAAGCGCCAUGUACUCCAUCGCCCACCCAGAUAUCACCACAUGUAGGAUCAGCAAGACGAUUGACACGAUAAAACCGGUAACAUUAGGCCACUGCAAAACCAAUCAUCAGACCCUCAUUGGUACGCACUGCCGUACAUAUGCGCAAGUGGAAAACAAAGCAAUACGAUCCUACCAUCACCAAAGGAUCAUCCCCGAGCCAACCAAACCAAAUCCACACCAUGUAGUUUCCCAUUGCAAAACUUAAGAAUCGCAUGGCUGGUAUCCUCUCCAUCCCCUCCUCCAUCACAUAUGGCUGCAUUUGUAAUGGAGACAUAAGUCACAGAUGGCUCAACGAGGCAUAGUUCGAACCACAAUUUUUACUUACCAAACCGGUGAGUGGUGAUAAAGCGAGUAUUUAACCAAAAACUACCACAUUUCAUGAAAACGUGCCCAGAAACUACCACUUUAUGAUUUUGUACGAAAAACUACCAUUUUUUUCCUAAUCCUUUGCUAAAAACUACCAGUCUGAAAAGUGAUGGACUAAACCCGAUUAUGAUAGGCUGGGCCCACCCAUCAAUGCGGAAAUAGCCAACACCGUUGCUUUGACCGUGAAUAUGUGGGGCUCAUAUGCCAGUUCCAUCUCCUUGCUCUGAAAUUCCCCACCGAGGAUCCAGAUCAGGGGCGCCGCCAUGCCGCAGCUCAGGCCACACUCCACCUCCUUCCCCUCAGCACCUCCAUCCUCCAACCAUCUACCCAGCC
rnacentral:lncRNA from 1 species